GUGGGGAAUCUUGCGCAAUGGGCGAAAGCCUGACGCAGCGACGCCGCGUGAGCGAUGAAGGCCUUCGGGUUGUAAAGCUCUGUGGAGGGGGACGAAUAAGGGCACGCUAAUACCGUGUUUGAUGACGGUACCCCUUUAGCAAGCACCGGCUAACUCUGUGCCAGCAGCCGCGGUAAGACAGAGGGUGCAAACGUUGUUCGGAAUUACUGGGCGUAAAGCGCGUGUAGGCUGUUCGGAAAGUCGGAUGUGAAAGCCCCGGGCUCAACCCGGGAAGUGCAUUCGAAACUUCCGAGCUGGAGUCCUGGAGAGGAAGGCGGAAUUCUCGGUGUAGAGGUGAAAUUCGUAGAUAUCGAGAGGAACACCGGUGGCGAAGGCGGCCUUCUGGACAGUGACUGACGCUGAGACGCGAAAGCGUGGGGAGCAAACAGGAUUAGAAACCCCUGUAGUCC
rnacentral:rRNA from 1 species